rfam:Loxodonta africana unplaced genomic scaffold scaffold_17, whole genome shotgun sequence.
ACCUUUCAUACCACCCUGAACAUGCCCAAUCUCAUCUGAUCUCAGAAGUUAAGCAGGCUUGUGCCUGGAUAGUACUUGGAUGGGAGACCUCUUGGGAAUACCGGGUGUUACAGGCU